rnacentral:rRNA from 1 species
CCUACGGGAGGCAGCAGUGGGGAAUAUUGCACAAUGGGGGAAACCCUGAUGCAGCGACGCCGCGUGAGUGCAGAAGUAAUUCGUUAUGUAAAGCUCUAUCAGAAGGGAAGAAAAUGACGGUACCUGAGUCAGAAGCCCCGGCUAACUACGUGCCAGCAGCCGCGGUAAUACGUCGGGGGCAAGCGUUAUCCGGAUUUACUGGGUGUAAAGGGAGCGUAGACGGCAGUGCAAGUCUGGAGGGAAAGGCGGGGGCUCAACCCCCGGACUGCUCUGGAAAUUGGACGGCUGGAUUGCAGGAGAGGUAAGUGGAAUUCCGAGUGUAGCGGUGAAAUGCGUAGAUAUUAGGAGGAACACCAGUGGCGAAGGCGGCUUACGGGACUGUAACUGACGUUGAGGCUCGAAAGCGUGGGGAGCAAACAGGAUUAGAUACCCCUGUAGUC